CUGGGCUCAAGUGAUCCUCCUGUCCGGGCUGGUCUUUAACUCCUGGGCCGAAGCUAUCCUGCUUGAGCCUCCCAAAGUGCUGGAAUUACACCAUUUGACUGCCGGGCACUCAAUUAAUUUCCGACAAAGGAAUGAAGAUAUAACUUCCUUUACCCACUGCAGCUUAAAAUACAAGAGAAGCUCUGGGAUAUUAAAAUGAGAAACAGUCUUGGAAAAAAUUAAUUUGAGCACACAGAAUAUUUGCCAGUAUGUGCUACAAGAAAUAUGCAGUCAAAAAUAUCCAUAGAAGUGUUGCUUAGAAUGGGGCAAAAGCCCAAGAGAAAAAAAACCUCUCACAGGGUUAAUGAGAACUACAAGCCAGGCUUUAGGCAGAAUUGUAGUCAGGCAUCAACCAGGGUGCACUGGUGUGCCCUGACUCACUUCCCUGCAGCUGCUAACUAACCGAGGGGCUCACAGCACACUGACCACCUGCUCCUCCAUUGCUCCCAUUGAUAGAAACCGACACUGGACCUUUUUACCCAAGAAUUGUUUAAGGUGUUUUACGGAUCCUGAAUUCCGGCAGAAUCCCUGAUGCCAACAGGUCUGAAGGUCCAUACCAGGAAACUGACUCAGCAUCUCCUGGUCCAAUGACUUCACCCCCCACUUCUCAACCAAUCAGCAGUCCUCAUACCUUAGCCCAUCACCUGUUCAGACCCCUUAGAAUCCCCAUCCCCAAACCUCCCAGGGAGGCAGAUUUGAGGUUUCCUCUCAUCUUUUCGUUCAGUUGCCCUACAAUUAUUCAUCUCCUUUGGUGCAACAGGCAAUCCAACCUGGUGGUCUUAUAACCAUAUUAAAGUGAAACAGAGAAAUAAAUGUGAAGCAGAGAGGUGUGACUUGGAAAUUGUAUACACUGGGUGUGGCAACUCCCCUAUAAUUUGUGUUUUCAUACUAACUUUGUUAACAUUAAUAAAGUGCUACCUUUGACUGACUGUGAUUCUGAUGAGGAGGAGGAGGAGGAGGAGAAUAGGGGUGGUAAGGUUUUAAACUAUUCUCUUUCCUCAUUUUCCAAGCAUUUACAAGUAGCUAAAUUUUUCCACAUAUUCGUUUCUUUCUACAGAACUUCCAUUAAAAUAAAAAGCAAUUCUGAAUCAAGCCUUAUGCAUAAGAAUUAAUGGUUCCACCUUAUAGAUCCCAAAUCAGUGUGUCAUUUGGGCAAGUCACCUCUCUCCCAGAUUCCUAUCUGUCCUACAUGUAACUGGAAUUUUGCAACAGAUGUUACACUCUUCCUUCUCCUUAGCAGCUCUGUUAGAAACUUUAAGAAAGCCUGAGAGUAAAAUCUGUACCGUAUAAAUCCAGAGGAAUGUUUAUACGGACUAAUUUCCUCCAAUCUGGUCACCUUUCUAUGCGAAAAUUCCUCAUCUUACAAUGUCUCAUACUUAAAGUCAUUUGGCCUCUUAACUGCACUGUUGAAUAUUUUUAAGACCAAAAAGCUUGCUAAACUCAAAACAGUGAAAGCAUUCAGUUGAAAAUAAAGUGAAAAGCCACAUAUGGCUUAGAGGGAGAAAGCAGCGCUAAUGAUUUUAGGCCUUAACAGUUUGAGAUCCAGACUGGCUGCUCUGAAGCCAUCUUUGCAUUGUUCCUCGCCCAGCUCCUUGCUCACCGCAGCCGCCUCCACUGCGUGCCUCGACUCUUCCGCUGAGGACUCUGGCAGCUUUAUCACCAGAGUCCCUGAACUCUCGCUUUCUUUUUAAUCCCCUGCAUCGGAUCACCAGCGUGCUCCACCAUGUCAGACGCAGCCAGAGACACGAGCUCCGAAAUCACACCGAGUUAAAGGAGAAGGAAGAUGUGGAAGAUGCAGAAAACGGAAGAGAUGCCCCUGCUAACGGGAAUGAGGAAAAUGGGGAGCAGAAGGCUAACACUGACACAAUGAAGAGGAGGAGGAAGGUGGGGAGGAAGAGGAGGAAGAAGGUGAUGGUGAGGAGGAGGAUGGAGAUAAAGAUGAGGAAGCUGAGUCGGCUAUGGGCAAGCGGACAGUAGAAGAUGCCGAGGAUGACGAUGUCGAUACCAAGCAGAAGACCGAUGAGGAUGACUAGAUAGCAAUAAAGGAAAAGCUAAAAAAAAAAAAAAAAAAAAAAAAAAAAAAAAAAAAAAAAAAAAAAAGACCGCCGUGACCCUAUUCCCCUUGCACUUCCCAUCUCAGAAUCCAAACGUGGUCACCACCUUUGAGUAGAGAGGCCCGCCUGCCCGCCCACCACAGGCAGGGCCACCUGCAGAUGACACAUGCGCUCCACCACCAAACCCAAACCGUGAGAAUUUGCAGCAGGGGAGGAAAACAGCCAAAACUUCCAAGGCCCUGC